rnacentral:ncRNA from 1 species
AGCGAAGCGGUUUAGAUACUGUAGGAUUAUGCUUAAAUACGCAGAAAUGCCCAGCCAUGGACGGCUGGGCAAGGCGUUAUGCGCCAUGGACGGUGCAUAAAAGCCGGUUUCGUCAAGCAUAGAAAAUCUUUAGACAUAAUCCGUACAGAAUCUUAACUGCGAAGC